rnacentral:misc_RNA from 1 species
UCGAGGGGCUUCGGCCCUGAGAAGAUAGCACCCUUGUCUUUUUCAAGCACCGUACGUUUUCCCAGGCGGGUUCGCCCGCCGCUGGGGACAAAAACCAAACCCUUUGUAGUAUCAGCAGUACCUGUCUGAAAGAAAGCUUACAAGCAACCAAAUCA